rnacentral:rRNA from 1 species
AUUGAACGCUGGCGGCAGGCCUAACACAUGCAAGUCGAACGAGUGGCGGACGGGUGAGUAAUGUCUGGGCAACUGCCUGAUGGAGGGGGAUAACUACUGGAAACGGUAGCUAAUACCGCAUACCAUCGGAUGUGCCCAGAUGGGAUUAGCUCGUAGGUGGGGUAACGGCUCACCUAGGCGACGAUCCCUAGCUGGUCUGAGAGGAUGACCAGCCACAGUGGAGCUGAGACGCGUGCCAGACUCAUGCGUGAGGCAGCAGUGGGGAAUGUGGCACAAAGGGCGCAAGCCUGAUGCAGCCACGCCGCGUGUAUGAAGAAGGCCUUCGGGUUGUAAAGUACUUUCAGCGGGGAGGCGUUAACCGCAGAAGAAGCACCGGCUAACUCCGUGCCAACAGCCGCGGUAAUAC